CUGCCCGAGGAAACAGGAGUACGGUUAUAUUGAUGUGUCAUAAAGCCAUUUGUGCUAUUGUCAGCUGAGCAUUUUGUGACUGUAUUAAAGUGUCUCUUCUGUAUUCAAAAUGGAAAUGUCCUGUAUUAAACUAAAUACCAAAGAAAUUGCUAAUAUUACAUUCAUUUUAGCAAAUACGUAAAAUUUAGUCACUUGGGAGGUAGUACCUUUAGAAAUAAUUGAAUGAACGUCCGAACACGGAGAUAGCAGAUAUGAAAUCUCAACCUGAAAUUGAUAAAAUAUAUCAAUCGCUCCAAAUUUCAUCAUCACUAAGAUAAAAAGAACAUCACAAAAGCUCUGGAUGCCGUGUGUUAUGGACCAUUCAUCAUAUCAACCGUUUUUCAGUCGAGGAUGUAGCGGUAUCCCAACGGAGACUAAAAGUGCCUUUUUUCCACUAGAAACGGAGACAGUGUGUUAGUGUUGAUAGGGGAAGGAUUUAUCACAAUAAAUCAUCUAAAUUGCUUUUUACUGAAUUUUCUUUGCAAUUUAAAUUUUAUUCUUGUCUUUUUCUUAGCUAUUUUAUUUUUUACUUUGUAAACUUUUGAGUUAACUCAAUUGUAAUUUAUUGUGAUACGUAAAACCCUUCUAAAUUGCUUUUUACUGUAUUUUCUUUGAAAUUUAAAUAUUAUUCUUGUCUUUUUCUUAGUUAUUUUAUUUUUUACUUUGUAAACUUUUGAGUUAACUCAAUGUAAUUUACUGUGAUACGUAAAACCUUUCUAAAUUGCUUCUUACUGUAUUUUCCUUGAAAUUUAAAUUCUAUUUUUGUUUUUUUCUUAGGUAUUUUGUUUUUUACUUUGUAAACAUUUGAAUUAACUCAAUCGUAAUUUAGUGUGACAGGUAAAACCCUUCUAAAUUGUUUUUACUGUAAAUUCUUUGAAAUUUAUAUUCUAUUUUUGUUUUUUUCUUAGGUAUUUUGUUUUUUACUUUGUAAACAUUUGAAUUAACUCAAUCGUAAUUUAGUGUGACAGGUAAAACCCUUCUAAAUUGUUUUUACUGUAAAUUCUUUGAAAUUUAAGUUCUAUUCUUGUUUUUUUUCUUAGGUAUUUUGUUUU